UGAGCUUCACAAGUUCUUGUUUAGCCA
rnacentral:piRNA from 1 species